rnacentral:rRNA from 1 species
GAUGAACGCUGGCGGCGUGCCUAAUACAUGCAAGUCGAGCGAACGGACGAGAAGCUUGCUUCUCUGAUGUUAGCGGCGGACGGGUGAGUAACACGUGGAUAACCUACCUAUAAGACUAGGAUAACUUCGGGAAACCGUAGCUAAUACCGGAUAAUAUUUUGAACCGCAUGGUUCAAAAGUGAAAGACGGUCUUGCUGUCACUUAUAGAUGGAUCCGCGCUGCAUUAGCUAGUUGGUAAGGUAACGGCUUACCAAGGCAACGAUGCAUAGCCGACCUGAGAGGGUGAUCGGCCACACUGGAACUGAGACACGGUCCAGACUCCUACGGGAGGCAGCAGUAGGGAAUCUUCCGCAAUGGGCGAAAGCCUGACGGAGCAACGCCGCGUGAGUGAUGAAGGUCUUCGGAUCGUAAAACUCUGUUAUUAGGGAAGAACAUAUGUGUAAGUAACUGUGCACAUCUUGACGGUACCUAAUCAGAAAGCCACGGCUAACUACGUA